rnacentral:rRNA from 1 species
GGGUUGUGAGGUUAAGCGACCAAGCGUACACGGUGGAUGCCCUGGCAGUCAGAGGCGAUGAAGGACGUGCUAAUCUGCGAAAAGCGCCGGUAAGGUGAUAUGAACCGUUAUAACCGGCGAUGUCCGAAUGGGGAAACCCAGUGUGACUCGUCACACUAUCAUUAACUGAAUCCAUAGGUUAAUGAGGCGAACCGGGGGAACUGAAACAUCUAAGUACCCCGAGGAAAAGAAAUCAACCGAGAUUCCCCCAGUAGCGGCGAGCGAACGGGGAGGAGCCCAGAGCCUGAAUCAGCAUGUGUGUUAGUGGAAGCGUCUGGAAAGGCGCGCGAUACAGGGUGACAGCCCCGUACACAAAAGCGCAUGUGCUGUGAGCUCGAUGAGUAGGGCGGGACACGUGGUAUCCUGUCUGAAUAUGGGGGGACCAUCCUCCAAGGCUAAAUACUCCUGACUGACCGAUAGUGAACCAGUACCGUGAGGGAAAGGCGAAAAGAACCCCGGCGAGGGGAGUGAAACAGAACCUGAAACCGUGUACGUACAAGCAGUGGGAGCAUGAGUUUACUCAUGUGACUGCGUACCUUUUGUAUAAUGGGUCAGCGACUUAUAUUCUGUAGCAAGGUUAACCGUAUAGGGGAGCCGGAGGGAAACCGAGUCUUAACCGGGCGUUAAGUUGCAGGGUAUAGACCCGAAACCCGGUGAUCUAGCCAUGGGCAGGUUGAAGGUUGGGUAACACUAACUGAAGGACCGAACCGACUAAUGUUGAAAAAUUAGCGGAUGACCUGUGGCUGGGGGUGAAAGGCCAAUCAAACCGGGAGAUAGCUGGUUCUCCCCGAAAGCUAUUUAGGUAGCGCCUCGUGAAUUCAUCUCCGGGGGUAGAGCACUGUUUCGGCCAGGGGGCCAUCCCGGCUUACCAACCCGAUGCAAACUGCGAAUACCGGAGAAUGUUAUCACGGGAGACACACGGCGGGUGCUAACGUCCGUCGUGAAGAGGGAAACAACCCAGACCGCCAGCUAAGGUCCCAAAGUCAUGGUUAAGUGGGAAACGAUGUGGGAAGGCCCAGACAGCCAGGAUGUUGGCUUAGAAGCAGCCAUCAUUUAAAGAAAGCGUAAUAGCUCACUGGUCGAGUCGGCCUGCGCGGAAGAUGUAACGGGGCUAAACCAUGCACCGAAGCUGCGGCAGCGACACUAAGUGUUGUUGGGUAGGGGAGCGUUCUGUAAGCCUGCGAAGGUGUGUCGUGAGGCAUGCUGGAGGUAUCAGAAGUGCGAAUGCUGACAUAAGUAACGAUAAUGCGGGUGAAAAACCCGCACGCCGGAAGACCAAGGGUUCCUGUCCAACGUUAAUCGGGGCAGGGUGAGUCGACCCCUAAGGCGAGGCCGAAAGGCGUAGUCGAUGGGAAACGGGUUAAUAUUCCCGUACCUGGUGUUACUGCGAAGGGGGGACGGAGAAGGCUAUGUUGGCCGGGCGACGGUUGUCCCGGUUUAAGCGUGCAGGCUGGUUUUCCAGGCAAAUCCGGAAAAUCAAGGCUGAGGCGUGACGACGAGGCACUACGGUGCUGAAGCAACAAAUGCCCUGCUUCCAGGAAAAGCCUCUAAGCCUCAGGUAACAUCAGAUCGUACCCGAAACCGACACAGGUGGUCAGGUAGAGAAUACCAAGGCGCUUGAGAGAACCCGGGUGAAGGAACUAGGCAAAAUGGUGCCGUAACUUCGGGAGAAGGCACGCUGACACGUAGGUGAAGCGGUUUACCCGUGGAGCUGAAGUCAGUCGAAGAUACCAGCUGGCUGCAACUGUUUAUUAAAAACACAGCACUGUGCAAACACGAAAGUGGACGUAUACGGUGUGACGCCUGCCCGGUGCCGGAAGGUUAAUUGAUGGGGUCAGCGCAAGCGAAGCUCCUGAUCGAAGCCCCGGUAAACGGCGGCCGUAACUAUAACGGUCCUAAGGUAGCGAAAUUCCUUGUCGGGUAAGUUCCGACCUGCACGAAUGGCGUAAUGAUGGCCAGGCUGUCUCCACCCGGGACUCAGUGAAAUUGAACUCGCUGUGAAGAUGCAGUGUACCCGCGGCAAGACGGAAAGACCCCGUGAACCUUUACUAUAGCUUGACACUGAACACUGGUCCUUGAUGUGCAGGAUAGGUGGGAGGCUUUGAAGUGUGGACGCCAGUCUGCAUGGAGCCGUCCUUGAAAUACCACCCUUUAAUGGCUGGUGUUCUAACGUAGACCCGUGAACCGGGUUGCGGACAGUGUCUGGUGGGUAGUUUGACUGGGGCGGUCUCCUCCUAAAGCGUAACGGAGGAGCACGAAGGUUGGCUAAUCCUGGUCGGACAUCAGGAGGUUAGUGCAAUGGCAUAAGCCAGCUUGACUGCGAGCGUGACGGCGCGAGCAGGUGCGAAAGCAGGUCAUAGUGAUCCGGUGGUUCUGAAUGGAAGGGCCAUCGCUCAACGGAUAAAAGGUACUCCGGGGAUAACAGGCUGAUACCGCCCAAGAGUUCAUAUCGACGGCGGUGUUUGGCACCUCGAUGUCGGCUCAUCACAUCCUGGGGCUGAAGUAGGUCCCAAGGGUAUGGCUGUUCGCCAUUUAAAGUGGUACGCGAGCUGGGUUUAGAACGUCGUGAGACAGUUCGGUCCCUAUCUGCCGUGGGCGCUGGAGAACUGAGGGGGGCUGCUCCUAGUACGAGAGGACCGGAGUGGACGCAUCACUGGUGUUCGGGUUGUCAUGCCAAUGGCACUGCCCGGUAGCUAAAUGCGGAAGAGAUAAGUGCUGAAAGC